rnacentral:rRNA from 1 species
ACGGGGGGAGCAAGCGUUGUUCGGAAUCACUGGGCGUAAAGGGCGCGUAGGCGGUUCGUUAAGUCGUUGGUGAAAUCCCGGGGCUCAACUCCGGGGCGGCCGGCGAGACUGGCGGGCUCGAGCACGGUAGAGGCAGAUGGAAUUCCCGGUGUAGCGGUGGAAUGCGUAGAUAUCGGGAAGAACACCAGUGGCGAAGGCGUUCUGCUGGGCCGUUGCUGACGCUGAGGCGCGACAGCGUGGGGAGCAAACAGGA